rnacentral:rRNA from 1 species
ACUCCUACGGGAGGCAGCAGUAGGGAAUCUUCCACAAUGGGCGCAAGCCUGAUGGAGCAACACCGCGUGAGUGAAGAAGGGUUUCGGCUCGUAAAGCUCUGUUGUUAAAGAAGAACACGUAUGAGAGUAACUGUUCAUACGUUGACGGUAUUUAACCAGAAAGUCACGGCUAACUACGUGCCAGCAGCCGCGGUAAUACGUAGGUGGCAAGCGUUAUCCGGAUUUAUUGGGCGUAAAGAGAGUGCAGGCGUUUUCUAAGUCUGAUGUGAAAGCCUUCGGCUUAACCGGAGAAGUGCAUCGGAAACUGGAUAACUUGAGUGCAGAAGAGGGUAGUGGAACUCCAUGUGUAGCGGUGGAAUGCGUAGAUAUAUGGAAGGACACCAGUGGCGAAGGCGGCUACCUGGUCUGCAACUGACGCUGAGACUCGAAAGCAUGGGUAGCGAACAGGAUUAGAUACCCUGGUAGGAU